AAUUGCUAGUAAUCGCGGAUCAGCAUGCCGCGGUGAAUACGUUCCCGGGCCUUGUACACACCGCCCGUCACACCAUGAGAGUCGGGAACACCCGAAGUCCGUAGCCUGACCGCAAGGGGGGCGCGGCCGAAGGUGGGUUCGAUAAUUGGGGUGAAGUCGUAACAAGGUACC
rnacentral:rRNA from 1 species